UCUCAAUGCAACAUCUCACAGUAUGAAGUGAAAUUCUGUUUGGCACUAGGCAGUACCACAGGGGCACCAGGGAAAGAGAACCUCCUAGCAUAAGGGCUUGAUGAUCCUGGAGGUCUUUUGCAACCUUAGUGACUCUAUAAUUCUCUGAUUCUGGGAUUCUAUGAUUCUAUGAUUCUAUGAUUCUGUGAUUCUGUGAUUCUAUGACUAUGAUUCUAUGAUUCUAUGACUGUGAUUCUGUGAUUCUAUGCCUCUGAUUCUAUGAUUCUAUGACUCUAUGAUUCUGUGAUUCUAUGAUUCUGUGAUUCUAUGUCUCUAUGACUAUGCCUCUGAUUCUAUGAUUCUAUGACUCUAUGAUUCUAUAAUCCUAUGAUUCUAUGACUCUGUGAUCCUAUGACUCUGUGACUCUAUGACUCUGUGACUCUAUGAUCCUAUGACUCUAUGACUGAUUCUGUGGUUCUAUGGUUCUUUGAUUCCAUGCUUGGGGAGAGUAAUGAAGAAGUUGGAAUUUUCUUGGCAUGCCCCUGAUUGGCCAGAGAAAGUGCCAGAGCCCCACUGCUCCGGGUACUGAAGUGAGACUGGACAAAGCAUCGGGCAGUAGCCAAUGAUGCAGUGUCCUGAGGAUGCCGUGGCCGUGUCAGAGAGGGUCCCUCCAGCUGGGGCUUGGCUCUCUGGGCUCUCCUCUCAUCAGCUCACCAGCACCCACUCCCCAGGAAGCCAAAAUCAGACUGCAGAGUGUGCUGGAAGCAGGAAUCUCUGUCCCUGUCCCUGCCCUUGGCCUUCUUAAGCCCUAUGAUGCCUGAUGCUGAGAUCUGGUCCAGGAGCCUGGCUACACAGGCUCGUUUUCUCGGUCAUCCAUGUCUCUGUGCAUCAUAUAUCACGCCUAUGUGUCCGGAGGAAAGAAAGAUCCCCUCCAACCCAGCAGCCCUGUAACGGAUGGACCUUCCCGAUUCGCAGCGAGCUGACAGCUUGUGAGAACAACAGCUUGAAUUACUGAAAGAACUUUUCCCACUGAGUUAAUCUGCAAUGGAUGUAGGUGACCUUCUAAAGGCAUCUAUUA
rnacentral:lncRNA from 12 species